ACGCCAAUGUUUAUACCAAGAUAGUGAAACUGUAUUGUGUUGCAUUGUCCAUAUUUAACAGUUCACUCUAAGUAUAGUGUAAUGAACAAUGUACAUAAAAGGGAGCACUAUUGCCUACCUUACACAUUAUUGUCAUCUCUGAUCUGAGAAAUGCAGCAAAGCAACUGAGAAGAACUGUACUGUUGUGAGCUGCGAAGACCAAAUACCAAGUUGAUUAUACAGCUCCAUACAGGUAUUUGUAGGAUGUGUUUGUAUGUUUAUA